rnacentral:snRNA from 1 species
CUGCCCACCUUGCAGCACAUAUGCUAAAACUGGAACAAUACAGAAAAGAGUAAUGUGGUCCUUGCACAAGGGUGACACGCAAAUUCGAGAAGCAUUCCAUGUUUUU